GUCAAACGCGCCAAAUUACAUGUUUAAUACACGCGCACCCUCCAAUGAUUCUUGUGAGGCUCCUCAUGUUUUCUUCUUUGAAUCCAUAAACAAGACCUCGAAGAAUGAAAUUGUUACAAGAUAUUCUCGUGCAUCACCACGAGGAUUGUCGAGUUGUUCAUCAAGUGAAAAUCGUACUGCAGAUAAUAUUUUUAGAAUUCAAGUCAUCUCACCAGCAACAAAACGAUAUGAGAUGGAUAGAUGUGAAUGUUGUGACAUUGUCGGAAUAGUUGGGAACAAAGUUGAGAUCAAAUUUAGAGACUGCAAGACUGAUGAAAUCAUCGCUUGAUUGAGUUGGGCCGCCAAAUUUCUUUAUUCUUUUACUAAACAUAUUCAUUUGUUAGCAAUUGUGAGAAUUGAUUUUUUGAUCGUUAGGGAAAAAGUAGACGCUACCUGUAAGAUAAGAAGUCAAAUUUUACGAUUGAAAUAAUAAAAUAAUGGUCAAAAAAUCAAUUUUUUGAUAUGAAACACUCCCAAACACCCCCUGCAAGGUUGUCAAGUUGUACCAUAAUUUAACUUGUAACAAAUAUUUAAAACCAAUAAUUUGCAAAUAUUUAUAAAUUGAUUAUUGUUUUCUUA